rnacentral:rRNA from 1 species
GGUUAAGCGACUAAGCGUACACGGUGGAUGCCCUGGCAGUCAGAGGCGAUGAAGGACGUGCUAAUCUGCGAUAAGCGUCGGUGAGGUGAUAUGAACCGUUAUAACCGGCGAUUUCCGAAUGGGGAAACCCAGUGUGUUUCGACACACUAUCAUUAACUGAAUCCAUAGGUUAAUGAGGCGAACCGGGGGAACUGAAACAUCUAAGUACCCCGAGGAAAAGAAAUCAACCGAGAUUCCCCCAGUAGCGGCGAGCGAACGGGGAGGAGCCCAGAGCCUGAAUCAGUGUGUGUGUUAGUGGAAGCGUCUGGAAAGGCGCGCGAUACAGGGUGACAGCCCCGUACACAAAAAUGCACAUAUUGUGAGCUCGAUGAGUAGGGCGGGACACGUGGUAUCCUGUCUGAAUAUGGGGGGACCAUCCUCCAAGGCUAAAUACUCCUGACUGACCGAUAGUGAACCAGUACCGUGAGGGAAAGGCGAAAAGAACCCCGGCGAGGGGAGUGAAAAAGAACCUGAAACCGUGUACGUACAAGCAGUGGGAGCCUCUUAAUGGGGUGACUGCGUACCUUUUGUAUAAUGGGUCAGCGACUUAUAUUCUGUAGCAAGGUUAACCGAAUAGGGGAGCCGAAGGGAAACCGAGUCUUAACUGGGCGUUAAGUUGCAGGGUAUAGACCCGAAACCCGGUGAUCUAGCCAUGGGCAGGUUGAAGGUUGGGUAACACUAACUGGAGGACCGAACCGACUAAUGUUGAAAAAUUAGCGGAUGACUUGUGGCUGGGGGUGAAAGGCCAAUCAAACCGGGAGAUAGCUGGUUCUCCCCGAAAGCUAUUUAGGUAGCGCCUCGUGAAUUCAUCUCCGGGGGUAGAGCACUGUUUCGGCAAGGGGGUCAUCCCGACUUACCAACCCGAUGCAAACUGCGAAUACCGGAGAAUGUUAUCACGGGAGACACACGGCGGGUGCUAACGUCCGUCGUGAAGAGGGAAACAACCCAGACCGCCAGCUAAGGUCCCAAAGUCAUGGUUAAGUGGGAAACGAUGUGGGAAGGCCCAGACAGCCAGGAUGUUGGCUUAGAAGCAGCCAUCAUUUAAAGAAAGCGUAAUAGCUCACUGGUCGAGUCGGCCUGCGCGGAAGAUGUAACGGGGCUAAACCAUGCACCGAAGCUGCGGCAGCGACGCUUAUGCGUUGUUGGGUAGGGGAGCGUUCUGUAAGCCUGUGAAGGUGUGCUGUGAGGCAUGCUGGAGGUAUCAGAAGUGCGAAUGCUGACAUAAGUAACGAUAAAGCGGGUGAAAAGCCCGCUCGCCGGAAGACCAAGGGUUCCUGUCCAACGUUAAUCGGGGCAGGGUGAGUCGACCCCUAAGGCGAGGCCGAAAGGCGUAGUCGAUGGGAAACAGGUUAAUAUUCCUGUACUUGGUGUUACUGCGAAGGGGGGACGGAGAAGGCUAUGUUGGCCGGGCGACGGUUGUCCCGGUUUAAGCGUGUAGGCUGGUUUUCCAGGCAAAUCCGGAAAACCAAGGCUGAGGCGUGAUGACGAGGCACUACGGUGCUGAAGCAACAAAUGCCCUGCUUCCAGGAAAAGCCUCUAAGCAUCAGGUAACAUCAAAUCGUACCCCAAACCGACACAGGUGGUCAGGUAGAGAAUACCAAGGCGCUUGAGAGAACUCGGGUGAAGGAACUAGGCAAAAUGGUGCCGUAACUUCGGGAGAAGGCACGCUGAUAUGUAGGUGAAGCGACUUGCUCGUGGAGCUGAAAUCAGUCGAAGAUACCAGCUGGCUGCAACUGUUUAUUAAAAACACAGCACUGUGCAAACACGAAAGUGGACGUAUACGGUGUGACGCCUGCCCGGUGCCGGAAGGUUAAUUGAUGGGGUUAGCGGUAACGCGAAGCUCUUGAUCGAAGCCCCGGUAAACGGCGGCCGUAACUAUAACGGUCCUAAGGUAGCGAAAUUCCUUGUCGGGUAAGUUCCGACCUGCACGAAUGGCGUAAUGAUGGCCAGGCUGUCUCCACCCGAGACUCAGUGAAAUUGAACUCGCUGUGAAGAUGCAGUGUACCCGCGGCAAGACGGAAAGACCCCGUGAACCUUUACUAUAGCUUGACACUGAACAUUGAGCCUUGAUGUGUAGGAUAGGUGGGAGGCUUUGAAGUGUGGACGCCAGUCUGCAUGGAGCCGACCUUGAAAUACCACCCUUUAAUGUUUGAUGUUCUAACGUUGGCCCGUAAUCCGGGUUGCGGACAGUGUCUGGUGGGUAGUUUGACUGGGGCGGUCUCCUCCUAAAGAGUAACGGAGGAGCACGAAGGUUGGCUAAUCCUGGUCGGACAUCAGGAGGUUAGUGCAAUGGCAUAAGCCAGCUUGACUGCGAGCGUGACGGCGCGAGCAGGUGCGAAAGCAGGUCAUAGUGAUCCGGUGGUUCUGAAUGGAAGGGCCAUCGCUCAACGGAUAAAAGGUACUCCGGGGAUAACAGGCUGAUACCGCCCAAGAGUUCAUAUCGACGGCGGUGUUUGGCACCUCGAUGUCGGCUCAUCACAUCCUGGGGCUGAAGUAGGUCCCAAGGGUAUGGCUGUUCGCCAUUUAAAGUGGUACGCGAGCUGGGUUUAGAACGUCGUGAGACAGUUCGGUCCCUAUCUGCCGUGGGCGCUGGAGAACUGAGGGGGGCUGCUCCUAGUACGAGAGGACCGGAGUGGACGCAUCACUGGUGUUCGGGUUGUCAUGCCAAUGGCACUGCCCGGUAGCUAAAUGCGGAAGAGAUAAGUGCUGAAAGCAUCUAAGCACGAAACUUGCCCCGAGAUGAGUUCUCCCUGAGACUUAGAGUCUCCUGAAGGAACGUUGAAGACGACGACGUUGAUAGGCCGGGUGUGUAAGCGCAGCGAUGCGUUGAGCUAACCGGUACUAAUGAACCGUGAGGCUUAACCUU